GUUAUCGUUAUUGUUUGUGAAACUGCGAGGAUUGCUUAUAUUAUUUAUAAAAUACACCACUCUCUGUAUGAGACGAGUGGUUAAGUACUCGACAUUUAACCCAAAGUUUUGCCAGGGGAGAGGGACCUUUAUGACCCCAACGGUGGACUCGCGGAGAGGGAUCUUUACUAUCUGAACAUAAACAUUUUGGGGCUCUCUUACCCAAGCGACUGCAAAAGGGAGACACUGCGUCAAUACGCCGAGAAAUGUGGGCUGCAGGUCACGGCUGCCGGUAGUCAUUACGUCGUCAAGGACGGUAAGAAGACACUCACGAUCAUCCCCCACUCGGUGAAGAAUGAUCAAACCUGCAGAAUCAUUAUUGAAAUCCUUACCAAUCGUUGUGAGGGUUAUUCCUACGGCUUUUUCUACGAGCAAGAAUAUAAUUACACAAGAAACCAAUAAAAAUGAUGGACACACAUUCUACCACGAUAAAGCAUAUUCGACAACGAUGGAGCAUAUUCUACUACGAUAGAGCAUAUUCUACUACAAUAGAGCAAAUUCUAAUACGAUACAGGAUUUUUGAUUACGAUAGAGCAUAUUUUACUACGAUAGAGGAUAUUCUACUACGAUAGAACAUAUUCUACAACUAUAGAGCAUAUUCUACAACGAUAGAGCAUAUUCUACUAUGAUAGAGCAUAUUCUACAACGAUAGAGCAUAUUCUACUACGAUAGAGCAUAUUCUACAACGAUAGAGCAUAUUCUACUACGAUAUAGCAUAUUCUACAACGAUAAAGCAUCUUCUACUACGAUAGAGAUAGUAAAACAAUCAUAUAACACCAUUGUAGUAAGCAUUUAUUCCGCAAAAUGAAAUAUAUGGUACACGGACUUUUUGACAAUAUAUGUCCGAAAAUCCUUAGACCGAUUACCCGUUUGUUAUCCAAUGAAAUAUAAUUACUUACACUGUUUGUUCAGUUAUCCAAAACAAGUUACAAAGCGUUUCAAAUGAAAAAAUAAAACUGUUUUCAAGUGAGUGUAUGUAUGUAUUCGUUAUAUACUUAAAUGUCGCCAAUUA